AACGCUAGCUACAGGCUUAACACAUGCAAGUCGAGGGGCAGCAUUGGAGUAGCAAUACUUCAGAUGGCGACCGGCGCACGGGUGAGUAACACGUAUCCAACCUGCCGCUUACUCGGGGAUAGCCUUUCGAAAGAAAGAUUAAUACCCGAUGGUAUAAAGAGUUCGCAUGUUCUCUUUAUUAAAGAAUUUCGGUAAGCGAUGGGGAUGCGUUCCAUUAGAUAGUUGGCGGGGUAACGGCCCACCAAGUCUACGAUGGAUAGGGGUUCUGAGAGGAAGGUCCCCCACAUUGGAACUGAGACACGGUCCAAACUCCUACGGGAGGCAGCAGUGAGGAAUAUUGGUCAAUGGACGAGAGUCUGAACCAGCCAAGUAGCGUGAAGGAUGACUGCCCUAUGGGUUGUAAACUUCUUUUAUAAGGGAAUAAAGUGAGGGACGUGUCCCUUUUUGUAUGUACCUUAUGAAUAAGGAUCGGCUAACUCCGUGCCAGCAGCCGCGGUAAUACGGAGGAUCCAAGCGUUAUCCGGAUUUAUUGGGUUUAAAGGGAGCGUAGAUGGAUGUUUAAGUCAGUUGUGAAAGUUUGCGGCUCAACCGUAAAAUUGCAGUUGAUACUGGAUAUCUUGAGUGCAGUUGAGGCAGGCGGAAUUCGUGGUGUAGCGGUGAAAUGCUUAGAUAUCACGAAGAACUCCGAUUG
rnacentral:rRNA from 1 species